UUUUGUCCUAGAGUGUGUUUUGCAAGUGAAGCCCACAAAAUGCUGGUUUUUAUGUUACAUGUCUUGUAAUCACCUAUGUCAGCUGUCAAACCAAGGAACUAUUCGCAACCCAUUAUGUUGCAUUCAUCAAACUAUUCUGGUGCUCAUUGAGAGGUUUAGCUCAUGAAACUUCAUUUGUAAAGGAUACUUCCCGUUGAGGAAUGUCACCAAAGAUGCAAAUCCUAUGGCGCCAACUGUAACCACAGCCAUUUCGACAAUUGUAAUCUCUACUUAGCCUACCAACAGACAUAGACAUGUACCUCAAUACAAUUUCUAUUGGACUGCCAUCUCUUUGCUGUCUGCUGCCUAUCUGCUGGCCCUACAGUAUUUCUAGCCAUUGGACAACAGAAAACAAAGCCUUUUUCCUCUUCUCCGCGCCCGUCUUCACCUCGCCUUUCAACCCGUCUUCGCUUCGCCUGUCGUCCCGUCUUCGCCUCGCCCGUCGUCCCGUCUUCGCCUCGCCCGUCGUCCCGCCUUCGC